UUCGAUUUUAACUGAGUCUGAAGGAACAAUAAUUCAAGUACAGAUAAACCGUUGGCUUUGACUACCCACUCCUUGGAUACAUAUACGUUGCUCUUUGCAUUGUCUUCCAUUUAUAUUGCCUUGAACGAUACAGCUUACUUUGGUGCCUACAAACUGAUUUCAAAGUGCAAAAGUGGCUUGCACUCAAUUAACCUGAAUCCCAUUUGGAAAAAAUGCAAGAUAUAAAUUCACAUGAUAUUCUUUGCAGAUGUUGCCUGAGCAGUUAAGAAAGGAGGAGAAAUAAAUAAAUAUUGAGGAUGAAGCAAUAAAGUAAGUCACAUUUUUUUCUUUCAUCCUGUGAUUAAGUACAUAAUAAAAGC